UUCACCCCACGUCAGCCAAUCAGCUUCCAGCAACUACGCGAGCCUGGCUAACCGCUUUGGAAGAUGUUUCUUCUGAAACGACAAUGGAGAGGGGAUGGGGAUUGGAGGAAGGUGACCAGGACACUAUGCAAGCCUGCGUUUCCCACAGGAGAACCAAGGCUUAACUUAUUUGCCAAAUGGGCACUAACACUAAGGGGAAGGGCAGGAGCCAUGGGGGCUGAAGGAGGGUAAUAGGAGGUGUUCUAAACAGGAGGAAGAGGUUGAAUUGCUAAGAUUUAUUGUAGUCUUAGCGGUGGGUGAACUAAUUGAAUUGAUGACCUAAAACAAGGACGAACAAUUUCUAUUUAGCUGAGAUCACUCUAUCAGAAAGAUUGAGAGCCAUAUUUCAUUCAUCGUACUGUACCAUAGGUUAGCACAUUGAGUUACUGAUCCAAGGACCCUUCUCUUUUUGAUGCCUUAAUACUGUGCACCCAAUUGUAAUAAAGGCUAAAUUGGGCAAAAAUGGAUGUGACCU
ensembl:lncRNA